rnacentral:misc_RNA from 1 species
UUUCCGUAGGUGAACCUGCGGAAGGAUCAUUAGUGAAUUGAAUAUGUUAGCGGACCUCUUCGGAGUCCCUAGCAUCAAAUCAUAUCCAUAACACCUGUGAACUGUAAGGCUGUCUUGAAAACGAAAGUGAUUAGGGCGCCUGCCCAUUUUAUACAAACAUUAAAGUAACAAACGUAGUCUUAUUAUAAUCUAAUAAACUUUCAACAACGGAUCUCUUGGCUCUC